AACCCUUCGAAUCCGUGCUGAGAUUUCGUCAGACACCGACCCAUUAGGGCUGAUCAGACUUCCAAGAUAAGUAAAGUU
rnacentral:pre_miRNA from 1 species